CUUUCUUUUUCCCUGACUUUCCUCUCCUCUGUUCUUCGCAUCUCUCUCGAAUCCACACGAUCGUGACCGAGAUCGGCGAUUUCUUCUUCUCUUGGUGGCGCCGAUGAGGAGCGGACCUUGGGGCGUUGAGAGGAAGAGAGGUUAGUACAACCGAACCUUCUUUCUCCCCGAUCCCUUCCUCCCUUCUCUGAUCUCGGUGAACAACGGCGACGGAUCUCGAUCGGUGGAUUUCGCCGGCUGUCGGGAGGGAACCAAGGGCAUUGGCGUUGGAUCUGGGCAUCGGCGACUGGUUGUGUGAGGUUUGGUUGGGUUGUGGAUUCGGAUCUCUACUCUUCUUCUAGUGAUGAUUCGAGUGAUCUUGAUGAGGAACAAUACCUGCGUUUAGGCUCCGGCCUCCACAGCUCCGUCGGAUCAUCUUCUUCAUUGGAUCUGUGAUUACCUCCGACGAUUGAAGGGUGAAGAGGACCUUGAUCUAUACGAGCAGCAUGACGUGGGGUGGUUCUGGUGAUACGGAUAUAUCAAGGCGGGUAUUUCUUCCUUAAUUUCUAUUUAGUUCUUUGAACUUUAAAGCAUGGUUAUAUUUGGAUAAUUAGGUUGCAUUCCUUAAAUCU